UACGUAGGGUGCGAGCGUUGUCCGGAAUUAUUGGGCGUAAAGAGCUUGUAGGCGGUCUGUCGCGUCUGCUGUGAAAAUCCGGGGCUCAACCCCGGACUUGCAGUGGGUACGGGCAGACUAGAGUGUGGUAGGGGAGACUGGAAUUCCUGGUGUAGCGGUGAAAUGCGCAGAUAUCAGGAGGAACACCGAUGGCGAAGGCAGGUCUCUGGGCCACUACUGACGCUGAGGCGCGAAAGCCAGGGGAGCGAACGGG
rnacentral:rRNA from 1 species